rnacentral:rRNA from 1 species
CAAAGGCUUGGUCCUGGCCUUUUUAUUGACACCUAGUAGACUUACACAUGCAAAUAUCCUUGCACCGGUGAGAAUGCCCUCUAAAUCAACAUGAUCUAAAGGAGCAGGCAUCAAGCUCACUACCCACAGUUGCUCACAACGCCUUGCUCAACCACACCCCCACGGGAUACAGCAGUGAUUAAGAUUAAGCCCAUGAACGAAAGUUCGACUAAGUCACACUAGUACUUGGGUUGGUAAAUUUCGUGCCAGCCACCGCGGUCAUACGAUUAACCCUAGUCAAUAAAACACGGCGUAAAGCGUGAUUAAAAGAUAAAACCCAAUAAGACUAAGCCUAAACUAAGCUGUAAAAAGCCCUAGUUAUAAGAAAGAAACCAAACGAAAGUAGUCUUAAAACCUUUGAACUCACGAUAGCUAAGGCCCAAACUGGGAUUAGAUACCCCACUAUGCUCAGCCCUAAACAUAGGCACUCAACUAACAAGACUGUUCGCCAGAGUACUACUAGCCAUAGCUAAAAACUCAAAGGACUUGGCGGUGCUUUACAUCCCUCUAGAGGAGCCUGUUCUAUAAUCGAUAAACCCCGAUAGACCUUACCACUCUUUGCAAACAUCAGCCUAUAUACCGCCAUCUUCAGCAAACCUUAACAAAGCCACAUAGUAAGCGUAAUCAUAAAACAUAAAUACGUUAGGUCAAGGUGUAGCCUAUAGAGUGGAAAGAAAUGGGCUACAUUUUCUAAUCACUAGAACACUACCCACGAUAGCUUUUAUGAAACUGAAAGCCCAAGGCGGAUUUAGUAGUAAGUUAGGAGUAGAGAGCCUAACUGAAUCGGGCAAUAAAGCACGCACACACCGCCCGUCACCCUCUUCAAGUCCUACAGACCAANNNNNNNNNNNNNNNNNNNNNNNNNNNNNNNNNCRAGAAGAGAUAAGUCGUAACAAGGUAAACAUACUGGAAAGUGUGUUUGGAAUAAU